AUACGGAGGAUGCGAGCGUUAUCCGGAUUUAUUGGGUUUAAAGGGUGCGUAGGCUGUGCGUUAAGUCAGGGGUGAAAUGCCGUCGCUCAACGACGGAGCUGCCCUUGAUACUGGCGUGCUGGAGUACGGAUGCCGUUGGAGGAAUGAGUGGUGUAGCGGUGAAAUGCUUAGAUAUCACUCAGAACACCGAUUGCGAAGGCAUCUGACGAAUCCGUCACUGACGCUGAGGCACGAAAGCGUGGGGAUAGAACAGGAUUAGAUACCCUGGUAUUCCACGCCGUAAACGAUGAUGACUAACCGUCGGCGAUAGACAGCCGGUGGCCAAGCGAAAGCGAUAAGUCAUCCACCUGGGGAGUACGCCGGCAACGGUGAAACUCAAAGGAAUUGACGGGG
rnacentral:rRNA from 1 species